GACGAACGCUGGCGGCGUGCUUAACACAUGCCAGUCGAACGGAAAGGCCCUGCUUUUGUGGGGUUCUCGAGUGGCGAACGGGUGAGUAACACGUGUGUAACCUGCCCUUAACUUUGGGAUAACUUCAGGAAACUGGGGCUAAUACCGGAUAGGAGCUCCUGCUGCAUGGUGGGGGUUGGAAAGUUUCGGCGGUUGGGGAUGGACUCGCGGCUUAUCAGCUUGUUGGUGGGGUAGGGGCUUACCAAGGCUUUGACGGGUAGCCGGCCUGAGAGGGUGACCGGCCACAUUGGGACUGAGAUACGGCCCAGACUCGUACGGGAGGCAGCAGUGGGGAAUAUUGCACAAUGGGCGGAAGCCUGAUGCAGCAACGCCGCGUGCGGGAUGACGGCCUUCGGGUUGUAAACCGCUUUCGACUGUGACGAAGCGUGAGUGACGGUAAUGGGUAAAGAAGCACCGGCUAACUACGUG
rnacentral:rRNA from 1 species